UGGCCAUGGACUCAUUGUGUUGAGAUGAAGGUAAAUCCAGGCAGUUUCUUUUUUUAGAUGCAAUUGUGUUUCUGGAAAAGGCUGCACAUCACAUAAUAGGAAAUCCUGAGAGGGUGAAGACUGUUUCCUGCCAGUUGAAGCAUUGUUGUCUUUGGCUGUUCUGACAAUAUUUGGGAAUCCCUCAUUCUCAGAUGACCUGAUUCUGCUGUUUUCUCAUGCUGAUCCUACCUGCAACAUACUCUUCUGGGGAGCUUUUUGUAAAGAAGCUUUUAAAGUAGAACAAGCAGAUUCAAGAAAACUGCCAUCUGGUUUCCACGCUGCAGAUGCCCACAUGAGCCUUGAAAAAUCUAGCUGGGGAGGAGGUGGAAGAUCCUGUGGGCUGGCUGGUAAAGGAAGAAAUGA
rnacentral:lncRNA from 1 species